UACUCUCCCCACGAGCCUUGCUGUGGUCCCUCUUCUUCUUGUUGUUUACGUGGGCCUCCCUGCCACGUCCCUCGGUCACGUACGAAAUGUCUUCGACGUUCGUCAUCGCUUGAGAAUUCGAUCAACACAAAGCCCUUAGCCGGGCUCUGAUACCACUUGUCACGGACUUGUUCCCUUAACAAAGAACCGUGCGGCCUUAGCUCCUUCUCGCCCCUCGCGAUAGCUAAGUCAGCCUCUCCCGAAUUGUGUUGCGAAUACUUAAGUGAUGGAAACGAAGAAAG
rnacentral:lncRNA from 1 species